AUACGGAGGAUGCGAGCGUUAUCCGGAUUUAUUGGGUUUAAAGGGUGCGUAGGCGGUCGGGUAAGCGUAGGGUGAAAGUCCUCUGCUCAACAGAGGAAGUGCCUUCCGAACUGUCCGACUGGAAUGCUCCUGCCGUGGGAGGAAUGUGUGGUGUAGCGGUGAAAUGCAUAGAGAUCACACAGAACACCGAUUGCGAAGGCAUCUCACGAAGGGGCUAUUGACGCUGAGGCACGAAAGCGUGGGGAUCAAACAGGAUUAGAUACCCUGGUAGUCCACGCAGUAAACGAUGAUGACUAACCGUCGGUCAAGACUGAUCGGUGGCCAAGCGAAAGCGAUAAGUCAUCCACCUGGGGAGUACGACCGCAAGGUUGAAACUCAAAGGAAUUGGCGGGG
rnacentral:rRNA from 1 species